rnacentral:rRNA from 1 species
GUAACAGGUCUUCGGAUGCUGACGAGUGGCGAACGGGUGAGUAAUACAUCGGAACGUGCCCGAUCGUGGGGGAUAACGCAGCGAAAGCUGUGCUAAUACCGCAUACGAUCUACGGAUGAAAGCGGGGGAUCGCAAGACCUCGCGCGGACGGAGCGGCCGAUGGCAGAUUAGGUAGUUGGUGGGAUAAAAGCUUACCAAGCCGACGAUCUGUAGCUGGUCUGAGAGGACGACCAGCCACACUGGGACUGAGACACGGCCCAGACUCCUACGGGAGGCAGCAGUGGGGAAUUUUGGACAAUGGGGGAAACCCUGAUCCAGCCAUGCCGCGUGCAGGAUGAAGGCCUUCGGGUUGUAAACUGCUUUUGUACGGAACGAAAAGGUCCUUUCUAAUAAAGAGGGCUCAUGACGGUACCGUAAGAAUAAGCACCGGCUAACUACGUGCCA